AAAAAAUUAGUUAAAGCUAUAACAUUAGUAUGUCAAACUAAAAUUAUUAAAUUUUUAAUAUUUUUUA
rnacentral:tRNA from 1 species